rnacentral:rRNA from 1 species
CUAACGCGGUGCCAGGAGCAGCGGGAAGACAGGGGUGGCGGGCGUUAAGCGGAAUAACGGGGCGUAAAGCGAGUGUAGGUGGCUCAUUAAGUCACAUGUGAAAUCCCCGGGCUUAACCUGGGAACUGCAUGUGAUACUGGUGGUGCUAGAAUAUGUGAGAGGGAAGUAGAAUUCCAGGUGUAGCGGUGAAAUGCGUAGAGAUCUGGAGGAAUACCGAUGGCGAAGGCAGCUUCCUGGCAUAAUAUUGACACUGAGAUUCGAAAGCGUGGGUAGCAAACAGGAUUAGAUACCCGAGUAGUC